UAGUUAGAGUUAGGGUUCAGUCCAGGGCCGUAAGCAUGGCUGAAACUACACCAGUCCCGUUGUCUCCAUGUGGGGCUGAAUGAGGGCCCAUGCGUGGGUGCGGUUCAGAUGUAGGGUUAGCAUUAGUGUUGGGGUGAGGUUGAGGUUGAGGAGGACAACGAGGAUCCUGGUUAUGUUUAGGGUUAGGUUCCAGGAAUCCCCAGAUGCUGAACCCAUAGUUGUGCAGUGGUCUCCCUGAAGAGCAGAGUGGAGGGUGCAUGGGAGGGUGUCGUACAACUUAGUCUUUGGUUGCCAGGGCCAGCCUCAGGUGUGGGCCACUCUUCAGUUGGGCCUCAGCAACCCCCUGUGCACCUCCCUCUGAACUUUGGAAAUUACCUGGUGACGUUCCACUUUCCAUGGAAAGUAAUGCUGCACCGCUUCUGGGCCCACAUGUGUGUGGUCAUAUCAGACUUAGGAAUUUGGUCCUCAUCGGGAGAGAGUCUUAGCUAGUGUUAGGGUUUGGCCCAGGGACAUAGAUAGGGCUGAAGGGAUAGGAGUCCCAUGAUCGCCCUGGAAGGCUGAAGUGAGGGCCCAUGCACUAAUGCGUGUAAGGUUUAGGAUUAUGGUUAGAGUUGGUGUGAACUUUAGGUUGAGGGGUAUGGUGAGGGUCACCAUUACUGUUAGGGUUAGGUCCCAGGAGGUUCCAGGCGGUGAACUCAUAGCAGUGCAGUGGUCUCCACAGAGGGCUGAGUGGAAGCUGCAUGGGAGCCUACAGUUCAGACUUAGUCUUUGCGUGCCAGGGCAGCAUCCUAUGUGUGACACUCUUCAGUUGGGCCUCAGCAACCUUCUUGUGCAGCUCCAUCUCAGCAGUGCAAAUGAAAUGAUGAUAUUCCAAUUCCAUUCUGAAGAAUACUGCAGGGGUUUGGGCCCUAUGUGCAUGGUGUUCUCAGAGUUAGGAACUGGAUCCCCAUUGGGGGAGAGCCAUAGCUAGGGUCACGAUUUGGUCCAGAGACAUAAGCAGGGCUGAAGCGACACCAGUCCCAUUAUCUACAUGGAGGGCUGAAUGAGUGCCCAUGCAGGGGUGCAGGUCAGGUUUAGGGUUACCUUUAGAGUUGGGGUGAGGUUGAAGAUGAUGUGUAUGGCUCCGGUAAAUAUAAUGGUUAGGUUUUGUCCUAGGUGGCUCCAGGCGCUGAAGCACCAGCAGUGCUGUGGUCUUCCCGGAGGGCUCAGUGGUGAGCACGUGGGAGGGUGUGGGUCAUGCUUAGUCUUUGAGAGCCAGGGCGAGCCUCCUUUGUGGGCCACACUUUGGUUGAGCCUCAGGAACCGCUUCUGAAACAACAUCCAGGCUUUGGAUAUUACAUGGUGAUAUUCCAUAUUCCAUGCCGAGUAAUCCGUCUCUUCUUCUGUACCCCCUGUGUGAGGUAUCCUUAGACUUAAGAAUCAGGUCACCAUCUGGAGAGAGCUUUAGUUAGAGUUGGGUUUCAGACCAGGGCCAUAGGCAGGGCCAAAGCUACCCCAUUCCACUUACUUCCAUGCGGUGAAGAAUAAUGGCCAGUGUGCAGUUAAGGGUCAGUUUUAGGGUUAGCGUUAGUGUCAGAAUGAGUUUGAGGUUCAGGGUAUGGUGAGGGUCACGGUUAGUGUUAGGGUUAGAGCCCAAGAAAUUCCAGGUGGUGAACCCCUAGCAUCACAGUGGUCUCCACGGAAGGCUGAAUGGUGGCUGCACGGGAGCCUUCAGUUCAGACUUAUUCUUUGUGUUUCAAGGCCAGCCUCACAUGUGUGCCAUGCUUCAUUUGGGUCUCAGCAACCUCCUGGGGCAGCUCCAUCCCAGCAGUGGAAACGAAAUGAUGAUGUUCCAAUUCCAUACCAAAUAAUAUUGCAGGGGUUUUGACCUAUAGGCAUGGUGUUUCAGAAUUAGGACCAUAUACCAAUUGGGAGAGAACCACAGAUAGGGUGAGGUUCCAUCCAGGGACAUAAGCAGGGCUGAAGAGACACCGGUCCCGUUAUCUCCAUGGGGCCUGUAUGAGGGCCAAUGCGCGGGUGAGGGUCAGGUGUAGGAUUAGCAUUAGAGUUGGGGUGAGGUAUAGGUUGAGGAGUACGGGUAGGGUUACGGUUCAGGUUAGGAGUAGGUUCCAGGAGUCCCAAGGUGCUGAAGCCAAGGCAGUGCAGUUGUUUCUCUGGGGGACUCAGAGGAGGGCACAUGGGAGGGUGCCGGUCAUGCUUAGACUUUGGGUGCCAAGGCCAGCCUCUUGUUGACGUUAGACUUGGGGUGAGGUUCCGAUUGAGGAGUAUGGUUUGGGUCAUGAUUAGGGUGAGGGAUAGCUCCAAGGAGUCCCCAGGUGAUGAACUCCAUGCAGUGCAGUGGUCUCCCGGGAGGGCUCAGUGGAGAGCGCAUGGGAGGGUGCUGGUCAGGCUUAGUCUUUGGUUACCAGUGCCAGCCUAGCAUGUGGGCCACUCUUCGUUUGGGCCUCAGCAGGCACUUUGGCGCCUCCCUCUGGUAUUUGGACAUGACAUGGUGGUCGUCCACAUUCCAUGUGGAGUAAUCCUGCACUGCUUCUGGGCCCCAUGUGCCUGAUAUUCUCUGCAUUAGGAAUUGGAUCCCCAUUGGGAUAGAGAAAUAGCUAGAGUUACAGUUUGAUCCAGGGACAUAAGCAAGGCUGACAAAACAACAUUCCAUUUAUCUCCACUGAGUCUGAGUGAGAGCCAUGCGUGGUAGCAGAUCAGAGGUAGGGUUAGUGUUAGAGUUGGGGUUAGGUUUAGGUUGAGGAAUACGGCAAGGGUCAUGGUGAGGGUUAGGGGUAGGUUCCAGGAGUCUCUUAAGUGCAGAACCUUAGUAGUGCAGAGGUCUCCUAGAGGGUUGAGUGGAGGGCGCAAGGGAUGGUGCCAUUCAUUCUUAGUCUUAGGGUGUCAAGGCCAUCCUCGGGUGUAGGACACUCCUUAGUUGGGCCUCAGCAGCGCCCUUGUGCAGCUGCCUCUGGGCUUUGGAAAUGACAUGGUGAUGUUCCAGGUUCCGCGCCGAGUGAUCCUGCACUGCUUCUCUACACCAUGUGUGUGCUGUUGUCCAUUAUUGGAAUUGGGUCCCCAUGAAGAGGGAGACAUAGCUAGGGUUAGGAUUCUGUGCUGGGACAUCACCAGGGCAGAAGGACUCCAGUCUUGUGAAUUUUAUGGAGGGCUGAAGUGAGAACCCUUGCGAGGGUACGGGUCUGGUAUGUGCCCCACACUCUUAUUGUGGGAGGCUAUUCAUGCAUGGGCACUGCCACACCUAGGGACAGAAGGGUAUUCACACACGUGCACAAACCCUCUCAUGUGGAAUGGUGUUCGCGCAUGCGCCCAGCCUUUUCCACGGGGAGAAGGUUCUCAUAUGCACCACACCCACUUGACAUGGCAGGGUGUUCACGCAUAUGAACGAGCCCCUCUCUAUGAGGGAGGGGUGCUUUCGUGCAUGUGCCAUGUAACUCUGUGGCCAGGGAGGCUGUUGACAUAUGCUCCCCGCUCCCCUCGCCAGAAUGGUGUUCACGCAUAUGCAAAGAUCCCCCUCCUGUCCGAAGGGGGUUGAGGCAUGCCCACAACACCCGCUCUGUGAGGUAGACCAUUUGUGAAGGCACACAACCCUCCCUCAGCAAGGGAGAGCGUUCAUGCUUGGCCCAACUCACCUCGGUGGAAGGGUGUUCACACGUGCACAGAACCGUCCUCAGCGAUGGAGGUUGUUCAAACAUGCGCCCCACCUCACUUGACGCCAGAUGUGUUUCAGGAUUCUGCCUUGCCCCUGGUUGGUGUAUGAGAUGGUCACGCAUGCACAGUGCCAUCCUUCAGGGAGAGAGUAGUGAUGUCACCAUUAAAUGUGAUGAUUCACGAAUGGUUCUUUCACUUUCACAGUUGAAGAAACAUGGGUGUCUUAAGGUAAGGGUUAGGGUUGGCACUGACAUAAGGGGAGGGUAAGUCUUAGGUCAUACUUCCUCCACUCUGGGUAUGGAAGGUUUUCAAGCAUUAGCGCUCCCCCCCCCCCCGCCUUUGGACAGGAGGGAAUUGAAACAUGCACCCUCCCACAUCAAGGGAGGGGGUCACCAUUGCGCCAUUGUCUCUGGAAUGGAGGGGUAUCACUCAUGUGCACUCCCCCACAUCAGCACGGGAGAGGAUCGUGCAUGUGUCCCUUCUGCAUCCCUUCAUCGGCGAUGUAGCGUUGAUGUUCCUUUUAGGUCACACGUGUUUUGUACUGCCUCAGCCAUUCAGUGGAUUAAGUGUCCCACUUUGGUUCAGGUCAUGGUCUCACGGUUUGUGGGUUCGAACCCUGGCUUCACCUCUGUGCUGAUGGCUCUGACCAUGGAGCCUGCUUCAAAUACUGUGUCUCACUCUCUGUCUGCCCCUUCCCCACGUGUGUUCUUUAUCUCUCUAUCCCUCUCUUUCUCUCUCUCUCUCUCUCAAAAAAAAAAAAAUGAAGCUAAAAACAAUUGAAAGCAGCUCCAUCUGUCAACUUGUCUUCUUGCCCUAUUCCCGCCUCUUCACAGGAAGGUCCAUUUCACCUAUUGGAAGAGACAGUAAAACCCUCGUAUGGCCAUUCAUAUGAGUCACUAUUUAGGGCACAAGUGAUUAUGCUACCUUUGCACGGUCAGGAUACCAUGGCCAUUUCACGAAUGUCCCUGGGCAGGCAGGGCCUCUAAAACUACAAAUGCUAGAGGUGAUUUUACUGGUAAACAGAUGGGGUUUGUGUUUGCUGAGCUCCUUUUACUUCUUUUCAUCUUCCUUGAUUGCCUAUCUGUGUUGCGUCAACAAUUGGUUUGAUAUUGACUUCACACUUAGGUUAUUUUUAUCUUAUGGUUAACUAUCCAUGGUUAUAGAGCUUAGGCAAGUACAAAUAUUUCUUGUUGCACAUACUAGCAUUAUUGUUUCUAUUGUGAAAUACACCCAGUGUUAACUUAGGAGUUGGUUGUCUAUUUUUGAUACUCAGAUCUUAAGAUCAUAUACCAGUGCCUGAGCUCUACUACGAAUGCUCAUGGCCAUAACUCUAACAGCCGCCUACAGUGUGUGAAUCAUAUAUUUUGACCUUCAAGGACAGCCUUGAUAUCCCUACAUUGGCAAUACAGGGGUCUGAUGCUUGCAGCCCUUCUGUGCCCCUUCAUUGGCCAUGUAGAUAUGUCACGCCUGUGUCCCUUCCUGGGCCAUGUAGGGGCGAGCCACCUGUGCCCCUUCAUGGUCUAUGUAGGGGUGUGGCGCCAGCAACCCUUCAUGGCCACUAUAGUGUUUGUACUGUCAUGGUUUCCAGGACGCACCUGGGGUCUCCGGACAUAUCCCCAUGGAUAACGGGGAGCUUCUGUAGUCGUGUUCCUCUGCAUUACACCUCCCCACAAGGCUCUCCUCUCCAGAUAAAUACUACAGGAUCAGGAACCACUUUUCUUUGCAGUUUCUUCUUGUGGAAACAUCUUGUCUUUGCUUAGCAUGGCUGCUUUGGCCUCUCCACCAUCUUCUGGAGGUUCCUUUACCUUUGAACUGUUCUUCACUCACUUCUUUUGAGUGAGCUGUCUGCCUCUGUCGCAGUCCUGCACCAGUGGUAAUUUGUACCAUGUGUGGCCAUAGGAAACCAGUUGAAAAUGGAACUCUGGGACUGGACUGCUCUUCCAGUAGAAGACAUACAAGUAGCUUCAUUGAUGGCAGAAGUGGAUACUGGACAUUGGUGGCUUGCAUCUUCCCUCUACCUCUAUACUCCAAGUUCCUGGCUGGCACUGGAAUUACAUCCUUAGCAUGGACAUCAUAACCUCCAGGUGAGGACAGUUUUUGAACAAGACGUAUUUUACUAAAGGACUCGUGGAUUGCGGGGUCUCACGACAUCACCUCAUAGAUGCAGUCGAUGGUUUGCUCCAGAUUCAGGUUUGUUUCCAGGAAGAAACCCUAACAGAAAUUCAGAAGCAUGGGAGCUGCAUUCAAUUAGGACGUGGAUCCAUGAAAUGCUCGUCUCAGGACCUUCUAGAAGAAUGAGCUGGGACCCACGUUCCGAGUCCUGCUGGAACCAGAGACCGAGGUAAGAGCAAAAACUGUCCCCACAUCAUACAUGCAUUUUAAAAAAUUUCAUGGUUAUUUUUCCAACCUAGUGAAGUGAUUGAAAACUACAGAAAACUUGGUUUGUACCCGUCAUUAACCUUAUGUUAUCUUCUAAUUUAAAUUACAGUGAGUAAAGAUACAGUGUAAUAUUAGUUUCAGGUGUACAAUAUAGAGCAACACUUCCACACGUCACCCGGUGAUCAUCCUAGGUGCACUUCUUAAUCCCCAUCAGCUGUUUCACCCAUUCCCCCACCUCGCUGUGGAACUCCUCAGUUUGUUUCCUAGUUUAGAGUCUGUUUGUCCCUGUCUCCUUCCCCCACCCCCGCCUUUGUUUUGUUUUAUUGCCAUGUGUUCGUGAAAUCAUCGGGUAUAUGUCUUUCUCUGACAGGCUUAUUUCACCCAGCAUAACAUUCUCUCCCUCUAUCCACCUCGUGGCAAAUGACAAGAUUUCAUGCUUUUACGGCUAAAUAAUAUUACAUUCCAUAUACUACAUCUCAAUUUAUUCAUCACUGAUGGAUGCUUGGGCAGUUUCCGUAAUAUGGCUGUUGUAGAAAAUGCUUCUGUAAACAUCAGGGUGCAUGUAUCCCUUUGAAGAAUUAUUUUUGUAUUCUUUGUGUAAAUACCUCGUAGUGAAAUUGCUGGAUCGUAAGGUAGUUCUAUUUCCAGGUGUUUUUGUUGUUGUUGUUGUUGUUGUUGUUGUUGUUGUUGUUUUUACAAAUCUCCAUGAUGUUUUCCAGAGUAGCUGCACCAGUUUGCAUUCCUCCCCACAGUGUAAGAGGUUUCCUCUUUUCCCAUAUCCUUGGCAACAACUGCUGUUUCAUCAUUCAUUGAUUUUAGUCAUUCUCACAGAUGUGAUGUAUUAUCUCAUUGUACUUUUGAAUUUAAUUUCCCCGAAGAUCAGUAUUGUUGAGCAUCUUUUCAUGUGUC